CCCUUCUUCUCUUCUUCUUCGCCACCCCUCGCCGCUUCACCCACCACCACACCCACGCCCUACUCACCACCAUCUCUUGGCCACUAAACCACCACCGCCGCCACCCACUGCUCGUUCGACGAGCCGUCUCGCUGUUGAGCCCGAUGAGCUAUCGCGCCACCCCUCGCCGCCAUGAGCGAGGGCACGACUCUCAAGCUCCUCGCCUCUGGCGGCGGCGAAGGACGGAGCGCUCGGGGUUAAGGCCGCAAGGGGGCUCGGGUUCAGGCGCUACGCCUUUGGCGAUCUGGAGGAGAGCGGGGGUGACGAGGGGAGCGGCGGUGGCGGCGGCGGCUCGAAGAAGAACGAGCAGUUCUUGCAUUGGUUUCACGAGGCGUGGCCAUAUUUCAGAGCUCACAGGGGCGGCACUUUCGUCAUCGUCGUCUCCGGCGAAAUCGUCACUAGUCGGCACUUGGAUUCGGUUCUCAAGGCGAUAUUGCGCUCCUUCAUGGCUUGGGGAUCAGGUUUGUUCUUGUUCCAGGGACACACGUGCAGAUUGAUAAAGUCCUGAAGGAGAGAGGACAUGAGCCUAACUAUGUUGGAAGAUACAGAAUAACAGACACUAAAGCUUUGGAAACAGCUAUGGAAGCAGCUGGAGGUACUUGUUUAAUGAUAGAGGCUAAACUAUCUCCUGGACCCCCAAUUUCUAGUAUGCGCUGUCAUGGGCAUAGUAGCCAUUUGCAUGAAGUUGGUGUAAGUGUCACAAGUGCUAACUUUCUUGCAGCCAAGGUAACGGUUUACAUGCUUACUCUCUUGGUCGAUAUCUCGAAUUAGUUGAACGAACAGUUCACAUUUCUCUUGUCAUCGUUCUGCUUUAGCAGCUAUAGUAAUGUUGAUUAUUUUAUUUUUUACGAAGAGGAGUUAUUGAAGGUGUUGCUUUUGGGGUAACGGGGGAAGUAAAGAAAGUGGAUGUUUCUUGUAUUCAUGAGAGGCUUGAUGGUGGAUGUAUAGUUGUAUUAAGCAACUUGGGCUAUUCCAGCUUUGGAGAAGUUCUGAAUUGCAAGUAUGGAUUAUUGA